rnacentral:lncRNA from 1 species
UUGGUUUCUUGGUUGCAGCGCGGGGAACGGAACCCAGAACCUGGUACAGGCUAAACAAGCCAUCUGCCACGGAGCCACAUCCCCGGCCCCAUGAUCUGUUUUCAACAAAGUCUCCGGGUGACACUGUGUCUGCCAAAGUUUGAAAAGCCACCGCUGUAGCCUAAGGCCAUGUGUCUCAGACCUGCUACUGGAAUCUCCCUGGAAGCUUUGUAGGAUCCUAAAGGUCAGGCUUCAUCCAAGUCGGGAUCUGAUGAUAAGACCCAGGUAUCAGGAGUUCUUGGAGGUCGCCCUGGGGGGCUCAGAUGGGCAGGCAAGUUUGGGAACCAGGGGAUCUCCCUUAGACUCUCCACACUGCCUGUGGCCUCUAGAUCUGCAGCCUGGGGAUCACCUGGGUGCUUGGAAGAAAUGCAGAACCCCAGGCCCCGCCCCAGACCUGCCAGUGUGGACUCUGCCCUUUAACAAGAUCUCCCCCCACCCUACCCCCAGCCCCUACUGAGCCCCUACUGACUCGACUGAGCCGCAGUGAAACGUGAGAAGCCCUGGCCCGGGCUGCAAAACAGUCCUGUCCAAGUCGUACAUCUGGAACUUUCUGACGUGCAGAUCGAUGACUAGCUGAACCCAGUCCAGAGGUGGUGGUGGUUUUUCUGAUUCUCUGGGGACACGGACGGCCUUCCUGCCCCUCAUCAGUGAAGAUCUGGCUGCGGGAGGGGAGGCAGGCCUCCUCUGGGAGAGUAAUUAAAUUCAGUGAGCACCUCCAGGGGGCCCCAGAGAGAAGUCGGCCCGGAGGAGAGGCUGUAAUUAACAUUUGGAGCUGCCCUGCCGCCAUGUUAUUCAUUACAGCCUCACCUGGGAGUGACCUCCUGCUAGUGCCUACCCCUCCACCCCACUCUUUAAAAAAAUUUUUUUUCCCUUUUUUACUCAUUUCUUAACAUCUUACCAGAUCACUACUGAGUGAUUUAGAAAGUGAAACCAAGGCUGACUCAGAAUUGGAAUAUUCAUCUUGAUUUCGUAUUUCCUUAAAGAAGCAGAAAGAACCCCAGAAUGGAACAGGCUGCUCUUGUGACCGCAGCAAUAGAAACCUCAUUGCUCUGAAGAUUUUUUAACUGACAAAGAUCUUUUGUGAUACUCCAAUCCAGAUAUUUCAUCUUAGUUCUUUUUCUUUAGUUUAAAAGUGAUAUUGUGGCUCAUACACUGUUGUGGAGUCUUUAAGCCCACAAUCAUUUUACGUGUGUGUGUGUGUGUGUGUCUCGUCGUAACAAAUGGGAUUUUUAGGAUUGACUUUGUGUCCCGGGCAGUGGUGUGUAGGAAGAGUGCAGGGGCAGGAGGUGAAGACACCUUGAUUCGCUCAGAACAAGUCCCUUUGCUAUGCUGGGUCUCCGUUUUCUCACUUCUAAAAUAAGCCAGCUACCAUGGUACAUGUCUAUAAUCCCAGCAGCUUGGGAGGCUGAGACAGGAGGAUUGCAAGUUUGAGGCCAGCCUCGGCAAUUUAGUGAGGCCCUAAGCAAUUGAAAGUGAGGUUCUGUCUCAAAAUGAAAAAUAAGAAGGUCUGGGGAUAUGGCUCAGUGGUAAGGAGCCUCUGGGUUCAAUCUCCAGUUCCAAAAAAAAGAGGGAGUUUGACAGCUGGAAGGUACAAAUUCAAAUGCCAAUAGGUACCAGGUGGAAAACCUGUAGUAGGGGGAAGGGUGGCUCAUGCUUGGCACUUCUCCCCUCCCUCACCUGUGGGGAUGUGGGUCCCGUGUUGUCGGAUUUCAAGGACAACAAAAAAAUAAUAAUUAAAAAAUCUUGGGGCUGGGGUUGUGGCUCAGAGGAAGAGCCCUUGUCUCAAAAUCGUGCGGCCCCGGUUCGAUCCUCAGCACCACAUACAAACAAAGAUGCUGUGUCCACCGAAAACUAAAAAAUAAAUAUUAAAAUUCUCUCUCUUCCUGUUUUAAAGAAUAAAUAAAUAAAUAAAUAAAUAAAUAAAAUAGAGAUAUUGUGUCC